rnacentral:rRNA from 1 species
UACGAAGGGGGCUAGCGUUGCUCGGAAUCACUGGGCGUAAAGGGUGCGUAGGCGGGUCUUUAAGUCAGGGGUGAAAUCCUGGAGCUCAACUCCAGAACUGCCUUUGAUACUGAAGAUCUGGAGUUCGGGAGAGGUGAGUGGAACUGCGAGUGUAGAGGUGAAAUUCGUAGAUAUUCGCAAGAACACCAGUGGCGAAGGCGGCUCACUGGCCCGAUACUGACGCUGAGGCACGAAAGCGUGGGGAGCAAACAGG